GGAACCGUAGCUCAGUUGGUAGAGCGCUCGGUUUACAUCCGAAAGGUCAGAGGUUCAAAUCCUCUCGGUUCCA
rnacentral:tRNA from 1 species